rnacentral:rRNA from 1 species
UACGUAGGGUGCAAGCGUUGUCCGGAAUUAUUGGGCGUAAAGAGCUCGUAGGCGGUCUGUCGCGUCUGCUGUGAAAACCCGCAGCUCAACUGUGGGCUUGCAGCUGAUACGGGCAGGCUUGAGUUCGGUAGGGGAGACUGGAAUUCCUGGUGUAGCGGUGGAAUGCGCAGAUAUCAGGAGGAACACCGGUGGCGAAGGCGGGUCUCUGGGCCGUAACUGACGCUGGAGGAGCGAAAGCGUGGGGAGCGAACAGG